UUGUUUGUUACGAUCGUACACGUUCUUCACACAGAUGUUUGUAAAAAGGCCCGGAGGCCACAGUUCACAGGGGUUUUGUGUUCAGGCCAGAGGCCCGGAUAUUCACUAAUGAUCCUUCCGCAGGUUCACCUACGGAAA
rnacentral:misc_RNA from 1 species